AGCUCAGUUGGUUAGAGCGCCUGCCUGUCACGUAGGAGGCCGCGAGUUCAAGUCUCGUC
rnacentral:tRNA from 1 species